UCCCCGUUGCCAAGGCAGUCUGAUUAGAAAAAUCCAACUAAUCAUGAGGGUUGCGCUCGUUGAAGGACUUAACCUAACAUCUCACGACACGAGCUGACGACGACCAUGCAUCACCUGUCACUUGGUUCCUAAAAGGCACUCCCUUAUUUCUAAGGGAUCCCAAGGAUGUCAAGCCUGGGUAAGGUUCUUCGCGUAUCCUCGAAUUAAACCACACGCUCCACCGCUUGUGCGGGUCCCCGUCAAUUCCUUUGAGUUUUAGCCUUGCGGCCGUACUCCCCAGGCGGGAUGCUUAACGCGUUAGCUUCGCUACCGUACGGGUCGAUACGUACAACAGCUAGCAUCCAUCGUUUACGGCGUGGACUAC
rnacentral:misc_RNA from 1 species